rnacentral:rRNA from 1 species
CCCUAUGGGGUGCAGCAGGGUGUGACCGUUUUGGUGAGCACGCCAUACAUGGACGAAGCCGAAAGGUGCCAGGAAGUCAGCUUCCUUUCUCAGGGGCGGAUUCUUGCGACAGGUUCGCCGCUUGAACUGACUAAGCAGCUUCCCUUUGAGAUUUUGGAAGUUAAAGCCAGCCCGCGGGCUAAAAUGCGAACGAUCGUUGAUGAAACCCAGGGCGUGCUGGACUGGCGCCCGGUUGGAGACACGCUGCGGGUGAACGUUCCGAAUAACGGCGCAUCCGAGCGCAUCCUGAAAAACAUGAAGCGAAACAUGGAUCAGGAAAAAAUGACGGUCUCUGUUUUGAGGCACGGCCGCCAGAGUAUGGAAGAUGUUUUUGUGCACCUGAUGAACACACAGGGGAGC